GUUCCUACGGGACGCAGCAGUGGGGGAUAUUGCACAAUGGGGGAAACCCUGAUGCAGCGACGCCGCGUGUGGGAAGACGGUCCUCUGGAUUGUAAACUAUUGUCCCCAGGGACGAAGAUGACGGUACCUGGGGAGGAAGCUCCGGCUAACUACGUGCCAGCAGCCGCGGUAAUACGUAGGGAGCAAGCGUUGUCCGGAAUUACUGGGUGUAAAGGGAGCGUAGGCGGGAUGGCAAGUUGGGUGUUAAAUCUAUCGGCUUAACUGGUAGUCGCACUCAAACCUGCUAUACUUGAGUGAA
rnacentral:rRNA from 1 species